UACGUAGGGGGCGAGCGUUGUUCGGAUUCAUUGGGCGUAAAGGGUGCGUAGGCGGUUCAGUAAGUCCGCUCUGAAAGCCCAGGGCUCAACCCUGGGAGGCGGGUGGAUACUACUGAACUAGAGUACGAAAGAGGAGAUUGGAAUUCCUGGUGUAGCGGUGAAAUGCGCAGAUAUCAGGAGGAACACCAACAGCGAAGGCAGAUCUCUGGGACGUAACUGACGCUGAGACGCGAAAGCGUGGGGAGCAAACAGG
rnacentral:rRNA from 1 species